UUGAAAAGGAGUGAAGUUCUGCUCUCUUCCCUGUGGGGUCCAGGCGUGCAUUGUCUGCAGACAGCAGCCUCCUGGCAGUGUGUGCAGCCUGCGGCCUCUGUGGGGGCCCUAAGCAGGCCUGGAGUCAGCC
ensembl:snoRNA SNORA70 Small nucleolar RNA SNORA70